rnacentral:lncRNA from 1 species
AAAGCCUUCCUGUAGGAAAGCAGGAAAGACUGGGUGGCCUGAGGGCAAGGAAUGGAAAUAUCACUGAAACUAAAGUUGGCCACCACCUUGUUUGGUCUCCCACAUGAAAAGCUGGUGCCUUUCAUCACGAAGCUGCUCUCACCCCAUUCCUAGAUUCUGAAACCUGAAGUGGGAAAUCCAGGUUGCUGGAGAAGCCACAAACCACACCAGCCAGGUGUGCCACCCCACACCAGCCAGGUGAGAGAGAAGAUCGGUGACAAUGUGUGUAAGCUGCAACAACACUUUCCCUGUAGCCACCUUUGGGGCAUAAAGAAGGGUCUCCUGUAGCCCCCACUGACCUGGAUCCACAGACACAAAAAUCUGGGAAAUGUAGUUCCAGCUGGAGUAACAGUGAUGGCAACAGAAAUAACAAUAACGAAAGACAUGCAUU